rnacentral:rRNA from 1 species
GUCCACACCCUAAACGAUGAUAACUCGUUGUUGGCGAUACACAGUCAGCGACUAAGCGAAAGCAUUAAGUUAUCCACCUGGGGAGUACGGUCGCAAGACUGAAACUCAAAGGAAUUGACGGGGGCCCGCACAAGCGGAGGAGCAUGUGGUUUAAUUCGAUGAUACGCGAGUAACCUUACCUGGGCUUGAAAGUUAGUGAAUGACGCAGAAACGUGUCAGCUCGAAAGAGCACGAAACUAGGUGCUGCAUGGCUGUCGU